ACGAACGCUGGCGGCGUGCUUAACACAUGCAAGUCGAACGGUGAAGCGCCUUCCUUUUUGGUGGGUGUGGAUGAGUGGCGAACGGGUGAGUAACACGUGAGUAACCUGCCCCCUUCUUCUGGAUAACCGCAUGAAAGUGUGGCUAAUACGGGAUAUUCUGGGUCUGUCGCAUGAUGGGUCUGGGAAAGAUAUUGUUUCGGUGGGGGAUGGGCUCGCGGCCUAUCAGCUUGUUGGUGGGGUGAUGGCCUACCAAGGCGGUGACGGGUAGCCGGCCUGAGAGGGUGGACGGUCACACUGGGACUGAGACACGGCCCAGACUCCUACGGGAGGCAGCAGUGGGGAAUAUUGCACAAUGGGCGCAAGCCUGAUGCAGCGACGCCGCGUGAGGGAUGGAGGCCUUCGGGUUGUGAACCUCUUUCGCCAGUGAAGCAGGCCUGCCUCGUUUGUGGGUGGGUUGACGGUAGCUGGAGAAGAAGCGCCGGCUAACUACGUA
rnacentral:rRNA from 1 species